UACGUAGGGUGCAAGCGUUAAUCGGAAUUACUGGGCGUAAAGGGCUCGUAGGUGGCCAACUAAGUCAGACGUGAAAUCCCUCAGCUUAACUGGGGAACUGCGUCUGAUACUGGAUGGCUUGAGUUUGGGAGAGGGAUGCGGAAUUCCAGGUGUAGCGGUGAAAUGCGUAGAUAUCUGGAGGAACACCCGUGGCGAAGGCGGCUCUCUGGGACGGUACUGACGCUGAGACGCGAAAGCGUGGGGAGCGAACAGG
rnacentral:rRNA from 1 species